rnacentral:rRNA from 1 species
AUUGAACGCUGGCGGCAUGCCUUACACAUGCAAGUCGAACGGCAGCACGGGAGCAAUCCUGGUGGCGAGUGGCGAACGGGUGAGUAAUAUAUCGGAACGUGCCCAGUCGUGGGGAUAACGUAGCGAAAGCUACGCUAAUACCGCAUACGAUCUACGGAUGAAAGCGGGGGAUCGCAAGACCUCGCGCGAUUGGAGCGGCCGAUAUCAGAUUAAGUAGUUGGUGAGGUAAAGGCUCACCAAGCCGACGAUCUGUAGCUGGUCUGAGAGGAUGAUCAGCCACACUGGGACUGAGACACGGCCCAGACUCCUACGGGAGGCAGCAGUGAGGAAUAUUGGUCAAUGGGCGCAAGCCUGAACCAGCCAUGCCGCGUGCAGGAAGACGGUCCUAUGGAUUGUAAACUGCUUUUAUACAGGAAGAAACACUCCGACGUGUCGGAGCUUGACGGUACUGUAAGAAUAAGGAUCGG